UGGGAGAAGAGAUUGAUACCAGGGGUUUUGACGACCCUCGUCUGGUUGGAUUUGGUGGCAUAGCUAUGCCGCUUCCGGUAGGUGAGCCUCCCUCCCUUCUUGGUGUUCCCCGC